rnacentral:rRNA from 1 species
UACGGGGGGAGUAAGCGUUGUUCGGAAUUACUGGGCGUAAAGGGUUUGUAGGUGGCUUGCUAAGUCAGACGUGAAAUCCCUCAGCUUAACUGGGGAACUGCGUCUGAGACUGGCGAGCUUGAGUGCAGGAGAGGAACGCGGAAUUCCGAGUGUAGAGGUGAAAUUCGUAGAUAUUCGGAAGAACACCAGUGGCGAAGGCGACUCACUGGACACGUAUUGACGCUGAGGUGCGAAAGCGUGGGGAGCAAACAGG